rnacentral:rRNA from 1 species
UACGUAGGUGGCAAGCGUUGUCCGGAUUUAUUGGGUUUAAAGGGUGCGUAGGUGGCUUUUUAAGUCAGUGGUGAAAGUUUGUCGCUCAACGAUAAAAUUGCCAUUGAAACUGGAGAGCUUGAGUAUGUUUGAGGUAGGCGGAAUGCGUAGUGUAGCGGUGAAAUGCAUAGAUAUUACGCAGAACUCCAAUUGCGAAGGCAGCUUACUAAACCAUAACUGACACUGAAGCACGAAAGCGUGGGUAUCAAACAGG